AGUUGACAAGCGACUGUGACAGGCCUCGCCGGAGGAGCUGGGCCCUGAAUCACCCUGCUCCCCGGCCGGCUGUCGGCGCUGGGGGAGGGGGUCCCGGGGGUCGACUCACCGAUCUGCCCGAUGAACUCGAUCUUGAUGCCCUGGUGCUCCAGCCGCUUGUUGGGGUUCUUGAGGGCAAGGCUCACCUUCCCGGAGACCGUCUCCCCGUCGUAGAAGAGGAAAUAUUUCUCCUUCUUCCCGUCCUCCGUCUUGUGCUCGGCCCGCUUCCUACUCUCUGCAUCGUUCAGAAGGAUUUCCACCUCCACGCUCUGCCCGAAGCCGAAGAAGCUCAUCGCACCGCCGGGCCGGGCGGGUCUCGGAACGACUCGGCGCGCGCGCGGGAGCGAGCUUUGAAAGUUGAGCACGGCGGCGGCGAGCCGGUGCCCUGGGAUCAUGGUGGCGUUGCGGGGCCUUGGUAGCGGCCUGCAGCCCUGGUGUCCGCUGGAUCUUAGACUCGGUUCCACUGGAUGUCUCACAUGCAGACAUCAUCAAA
rnacentral:lncRNA from 10 species